GGUUGUGCCCUUGAGGCGUGGCUUCCGGAGCUAACGCGUUAAGUCGACCGCCUGGGGAGUACGGCCGCAAGGUUAAAACUCAAAUGAAUUGACGGGGGCCCGCACAAGCGGUGGAGCAUGUGGUUUAAUUCGAUGCAACGCGAAGAACCUUACCUGGUCUUGACAUCCACAGAAGUUUUCAGAGAUGAAAAGGUGCCUUCGGGAACUGUGAGACAGGUGCUGCAUGGCUGUCGUCAGCUCGUGUUGUGAAAUGUUGGGUUAAGUCCCGCAACGAGCGCAACCCUUAUCCUUUGUUGCCAGCGGUCCGGCCGGGAACUCAAAGGAGACUGCCAGUGAUAAACUGGAGGAAGGUGGGGAUGACGUCAAGUCAUCAUGGCCCUUACGACCAGGGCUACACACGUGCUACAAUGGCGCAUACAAAGAGAAGCGACCUCGCGAGAGCAAGCGGACCUCAUAAAGUGCGUCGUAGUCCGGAUUGGAGUCUGCAACUCGACUCCAUGAAGUCGGAAUCGCUAGUAAUCGUGGAUCAGAAUGCCACGGUGAAUACGUUCCCGGGCCUUGUACACACCGCCCGUCACACCAUGGGAGUGGGUUGCAAAAGAAGUAGGUAGCUUAACCUUCGGGAGGGCGCUUACCACUUUGUGAUUCAUGACUGGGGUGAAGUCGUAA
rnacentral:rRNA from 1 species